UAUUGAAGGGCUUAUUCUAGAGAUCCGGUGUGAAGUUAAGGCUCGUCAACCCCGCACUAUGAUAGCUGCGAUCUCAUUUGCAAAUCUACAUGAGAAAAAAAUUAGCAAGGAAAGAUCAGCAAGGGGUUUGUACUAUGAUGAAAAAUGGAGUAUAGAGCACCGAUGUAAACAAGGGCAACUUCUGAUGAUUGAACCAAUUGGAGAGGAGCCGAAAGCUAAGAAUGUGGACUCCGAUCAUG
rnacentral:lncRNA from 1 species